rnacentral:lncRNA from 1 species
AUUAGAAUAGCACUUUUUACCAUGUUGUUACUCAAAUGCAAAUUCAGAUUCGGAUGUUGUUGAAUGUGCAUCGAAUUCGGAUAUCUCAAAUUCGAAUUUCUAUCCGGAUACCCAUUUAAUUUGGUUGAUAGCAAUUAGCAAGUAUACAUUCAUCUUAUUGAUAAUUUUGGAAGAACAAAGUCAUCAUUAGACAUACAAAUAUAUUUAUGGGUAAGAUAUAACAUAUCUAGGCAAAAAAUUAUUCAUUAAAAUUAUUUUUAUAAAUAUUAUAAUAAAUAAAUAAAUA